GACGAACGCUGGCGGCGUGCUUAACACAUGCAAGUCGAACGGUAAGGCCCUGCUUUUGUGGGGUGCUCGAGUGGCGAACGGGUGAGUAACACGUGAGUAACCUGCCCUUGACUUUGGGAUAACUUCAGGAAACUGGGGCUAAUACCGGAUAGGAGCUCCUGCUGCAUGGUGGGGGUUGGAAAGUUUCGGCGGUUGGGGAUGGACUCGCGGCUUAUCAGCUUGUUGGUGGGGUAGUGGCUUACCAAGGCUUUGACGGGUAGCCGGCCUGAGAGGGUGACCGGCCACAUUGGGACUGAGAUACGGCCCAGACUCCUACGGGAGGCAGCAGUGGGGAAUAUUGCACAAUGGGCGGAAGCCUGAUGCAGCAACGCCGCGUGCGGGAUGACGGCCUUCGGGUUGUAAACCGCUUUCGCCUGUGACGAGGCGUGAGUGACGGUAAUGGGUAAAGAAGCACCGGCUAACUACGUGCCAGCAGCCGCGGUGAUACGUAGGGUGCGAGCGUUGUCCGGAUUUAUUGGGCGUAAAGGGCUCGUAGGUGGUUGAUCGCGUCGGAAGUGUAAUCUUGGGGCUUAACCCUGAGCGUGCUUUCGAUACGGGUUGACUUGAGGAAGGUAGGGGAGAAUGGAAUUCCUGGUGGAGCGGUGGAAUGCGCAGAUAUCAGGAGGAACACCAGUGGCGAAGGCGGUUCUCUGGGCCUUUCCUGACGCUGAGGAGCGAAAGCGUGGGGAGCGAACAGGCUUAGAUACCCUGGUAGUCCACGCUGUAAACGGUGGGUACUAGGUGUGGGGUCCAUUCCACGGGUUCCGUGCCGUAGCUAACGCUUUAAGUACCCCGCCUGGGGAGUACGGCCGCAAGGCUAAAACUCAAAGGAAUUGACGGGGCCCCGCACAAGCGGCGGAGCAUGCGGAUUAAUUCGAUGCAACGCGUAGAACCUUACCUGGGUUUGACAUGGAUCGGGAGUGCUCAGAGAUGGGUGUGCCUCUUUUGGGGUCGGUUCACAGGUGGUGCAUGGCUGUCGUCAGCUCGUGUCGUGAGAUGUUGGGUUAAGUCCCGCAACGAGCGCAACCCUUGUUCACUGUUGCCAGCACGUUAUGGUGGGGACUCAGUGGAGACCGCCGGGGUCAACUCGGAGGAAGGUGGGGAUGACGUCAAGUCAUCAUGCCCCUUAUGUCCAGGGCUUCACGCAUGCUACAAUGGCUGGUACAGAGAGUGGCGAGCCUGUGAGGGUGAGCGAAUCUCGGAAAGCCGGUCUCAGUUCGGAUUGGGGUCUGCAACUCGACCUCAUGAAGUCGGAGUCGCUAGUAAUCGCAGAUCAGCAACGCUGCGGUGAAUACGUUCCCGGGGCU
rnacentral:rRNA from 1 species